UUCCACGACAUUCUAAUUUAUUGAGAUCCAAGUUACCCCCUUUUUAAACUCUUGCCAUCUGGCCGGCGCUUCAGAGCCCCAAAUAACAGGACAGUCAGGCACGAGAAUAGUUUCUACCCCCAGGUAAUCUACCUCAUGAACAGUUAAAUGUUCCCCACUUAUGCAAUAAAAAUGUGCAAUAACCUUAUAUUUAUUUGUUAUCACCUCCACCCUAGUACAUCCCUGCAUCUCACUCUAUUCUAUUCCAUUAUCGUCUAUAGCACAACUGUUCAUAUAAUUUAUUUAUUUUUUGGAUUUAUUUUGCAAUAUUUGUCUUUUUUUAUGUCUGUGUGUUGUUGUCUCUGUGUCCUGGAAGCUUAUGACACUAAAACAAAUUCCUUGCAAGAAUACUUGGCAAUAAAGCUCUUUCUGAUUCUGUUGGAUCAAACAUGAGCUCAAUGGCACAACAAUAAUGUGCAGAUUACUUUUUAUAUUAAUGAGUCAACGGUUAAUAAAAUAUUUCAUUUAUUUCAAAUGACAAAGUAAAAGCACAGACAUGGUAACAUGAUUUAUGGCUUGAACAAACAUUAAAGGAAAAAACCUUAUAAAUACAACAUUCUGCUGAGUUUUUAAAGUCCUUGAGAAAGUUGUACUGCUUUGCUCCAGCCUGUAGAUUGUGUCUUUGAUCCAAGGUUGAUCCUGCUGGGAGCUGAAGAGGUGCUGUUAUGGACUCCUCAAUCUGUCUGUUUCAGACUUUGAUGACCAUGGCACUAAAAAGUGAAAGAGCUGUUAUACUGGUUUCAGCGUCAAACGAAAGCCAUUUAUUCUACUCUAAGUACAAUAACGACAUUAUGAAAGACACAUGUCUCACCAGGUCGGUUGCGUGAUGUUUGCGUCAUGACAGGUCUAGCUUCUUCUGUGUUUCUGCGAGCUUGUCCUGUAACCUCUUUUUCCGCCAGUCCAAGAACCUUCUUCGCAUCCUGUUUGCCUGCCAGCCGGCGAUAAAACCAGCUGCAAACGAAACGACUAUAGCGACCUGUAACGUCCUCUCCGACACAUCGGCCAUGUUCACCUCCGUUCGGCCACAGCUCGCUGUUGGAGGAAGCACGCGUGUGAAUAGAAGUCGCAUCACGUGACUUGGGC
ensembl:lncRNA